rnacentral:rRNA from 1 species
GAGAUUAGAGUUUGAUCAUGGCUCAGGACGAACGCUGGCGGCGUGCCUAAUACAUGCAAGUCGAGCGGACGGAUGGGAGCUUGCUCCCAGACCGUCAGCGGCGGACGGGUGAGUAACACGUGGGCAACCUGCCUGUAAGACUGGGAUAACUCCGGGAAACCGGGGCUAAUACCGGAUAAUUCUUUCCCUCACAUGAGGGAAAGCUGAAAGAUGGCUUCGGCUAUCACUUACAGAUGGGCCCGCGGCGCAUUAGCUAGUUGGUGAGGUAACGGCUCACCAAGGCAACGAUGCGUAGCCGACCUGAGAGGGUGAUCGGCCACACUGGGACUGAGACACGGCCCAGACUCCUACGGGAGGCAGCAGUAGGGAAUCUUCCGCAAUGGACGAAAGUCUGACGGAGCAACGCCGCGUGAGUGAUGAAGGUUUUCGGAUCGUAAAACUCUGUUGUUAGGGAAGAACAAGUGCCGGAGUAACUGCCGGUACCUUGACGGUACCUAACCAGAAAGCCACGGCUAACUACGUGCCAGCAGCCGCGGUAAUACGUAGGUGGCAAGCGUUGUCCGGAAUUAUUGG